CAGAGUUGCAAAACUCCCAACCCUUUGUGAACGAACCUACCAGUUGGCCUCGGACGGCGAGCCCCCUGGGCGGACCGCCGGAGGAAUACAAACUCUUUGCAUUAUAGUAUCUCUGAUCUUACUUAUUCAAUAAGUUAA
rnacentral:misc_RNA from 1 species